GACAGAGGGUGCAAACGUUGUUCGGAAUUACUGGGCGUAAAGCGCGUGUAGGCUGCUCGAUAAGUCGGAUGUGAAAGCCCUGGGCUCAACCUAGGAAGUGCAUUCGAAACUGCCGAGCUGGAGUCCCGGAGAGGAAGGCGGAAUUCUCGGUGUAGAGGUGAAAUUCGUAGAUAUCGAGAGGAACACCGGUGGCGAAGGCGGCCUUCUGGACGGCGACUGACGCUAAGACGCGAAAGCGUGGGGAGCAAACAGG
rnacentral:rRNA from 1 species